UUGCUUUCACCUGUUAGAAUCAGAAACAAGUCAGGGCCUUUAGGUGUGCGAGUACGGGAACGGGAAUACCAUCUGUCUCUCCAACUGAUGUGUGAAGGAACGAGGGCAGUGCGGCUAGUGUUAUGCUUCGCAGUAUUUUGCAGUUUUUGGGCUCAAAGAGUGUUCUUUUAGGAAGAAUAUAGAGCCAAGAGUUAAGUGACUGAAACAUCUCAGUUCCUAAUUAGGCUUUCUACACAAGUUGGAAUGAUGAACUCUGCAAAAGUCAUAGUUUGAUGUUCUCCGGUCUGAUAAUCCACACAGCUCUUCAAAAUGUAUAUCCAUAUGCAGAUUGGGCCAGUCCUGCCACAAGUUAACUUCAAGUGCAGAAGAUGUAUGCUGCUGUUGGUACACCUUCGAUCCAGAAUUUGUGCUGCUUCUGGGCCACAGUUGGACAUCAAGAUGCUCUAAUAGCUAGCCAACCUCUUCAUUUAAAUAACACUAUAAAACCUUGAACAUGACACACUAUCACAAACAGAUCUGCAUCUGUCGGACAGAAACUGCUGCUGGACACUAUAUUAGAAGCAUAUAAUAUACAGGGUGUUACAAAAAGGUAUGGCCAAACUUUCAGGAAAAUUUCCUCACACACAAAUAAAGAAAAGAUGUUAUGUGGACAUGUGUUCGGAAACGCUUAAUUUCCAUGUUAGAGCUCAUUUUAGUUUCGUCAGUAUGUACUGUACUUCCUCCAUUCACCACCAUGAUUUCAUAUGGGAUAAUCUACCUGUGCUGCUAGAACAUGUGCCUUUACAAAUAUGACACAACAUGUGGUUCACACACAAUGGAGCUCCUGCACAUUUCAGGUGUAGUGUUUGUACGCUUCUCAACAACAGAUUCGGUGACAAAUGGAUUGGUAGAGAUGGACCAAUUCCAUGGCCUCCACGCUCUCCUGACCUCAACCCUCUUGACUUUCAUUUAUGGGGGCAUUUGAAAGCUCUUGUCUACGCAACCCCAGUACCAACUGUAGAGACUUUUCGUGCUCGCAUUGUGGAUGGCUGUGAUACAAUACGCCAUUCUCCAGGGCUGCAUCAGCACAUCAGGGAUUCCAUGCGACGGAGGGUGGAUGCAUGUAUCCUCGCUAACGGAGGACAUUUUGAACAUUUCCUGUAACAAAGUGUUUGAAGUCACGCUGGUACAUUCUGUUGCUGUGUGUUUCCAUUCCAUAAUUAAUGUGAUUUGAAGAGAAGUAAUAAAAUGAGCUGUAAUAUGGAAAGUAAGCAUUUCCGGACACAUGUCCAUAUAACAUAUUUUCUUUCUUUGUGUGUGAGGAAUGUUUCCUGAAAGUUUGGACAUACCUUUUUGUAACACCCUGUAGUGUGCCCCCACAGGGUUGCCUGUUCCAUAAUAAGCAACCAUGAAAGAUGCAUCUGCAGUCAAAUUCAAUAAUUCAUAUUUGUGUAUUAUGCUCUCUACAUAUGACUCAUUUGUUCAUCUCGCCAAUAUGUCGUAUGAUGUUUCAGCACAGACUGCAGCACCAGUUUUGUCUGAUGGUUAUCUGAUGCAUGUCAUUACAGAUAGGUCUAAUUAAUUAUCAUUACAUUCCACAUAUAUCAGUUUGGCAAGCUAUAUUUUAGUGUAACAAUCACCUCUGUUCAGUUCCCAAUGAACACUUUAGCUCUUGCAUAUCAAGGAUUAUUUCUGUGCCAAAAUUAUCAAAGCUAUAAGUUCAUUUGGCUCGUGCAUCUUCAAUAUCUGAUUGGACAUUUCCAUAUAAUGCAAUAACUGCCCCCCCUCCCCUCCAGUGAGAUAGCAGACUCUCCAAAAUGGUUAUUUCUAACAGCUUUUACUGGAAUACAGAACUUGUGAAAUCUUCUCCUUUUUGUUUCUGUAUUUGUUGAGACUUCUGUAAAUCACUUGCACUAGGAUUAGCAAAUAAUGUUUUCGAACUGUCACCAUAAAUUCCAGCACUGAGAACUGUGUGCAUUUUAAUAGUAGAAACCUGUAAAUCAUUGUUCUAUGUUAUAGCAGUAUUACUGGAAGUCCAAUGUGAUCAGUAGUUCUAUCAUGAUUUUCAGCUAUAUUUCUAGAGCAAAGGUGAAGUCUGCUUCCCUGCUACUUUUAUAUGGAGAACAAUACUAUGUUUUGAUCAAAUUAGUACAGGACUGUUCAAGUCAGUGUGCAAUCUUUUCAUCUUUAAUUACAUACAUUUAGCAAUACUUUGUCAACAGUCUCUUACAAGAGGGCCAAAUAAUGCCAAUAGAAACCAUUUAUAAUAGCAGAUAAUGGGCAUCAAACUCUUAGUCACUGACUUUAUUUAGAAUAGUAGUGGAAUGAAUCUUUCAUUUUGGAGUGGAAUGUAUGUUGUUAUAAACAUUCCCAAGAAAUGGAAAACUGUAUGGGGUACUGGAAUCAGUCUGCUUUUCAGUUCUAAUCAAUGAGGAAGUUUCUUGCAAGGUAGAGUGAGUGAGUGAGUGAGUGAGUG